rnacentral:rRNA from 1 species
UCCCCCAGUAGCGGCGAGCGAACGGGGAGCAGCCCAGAGUCUGAAUCAGCAUGUGUGUUAGUGGAACGGUCUGGAAAGUCCGACGGUACAGGGUGAUAGUCCCGUACACAAAAAUGCACAGGUUGUGAACUCGAAGAGUAGGGCGGGACACGUGGUAUCCUGUCUGAAUAUGGGGGGACCAUCCUCCAAGGCUAAAUACUCCUGACUGACCGAUAGUGAACCAGUACCGUGAGGGAAAGGCGAAAAGAACCCCGGCGAGGGGAGUGAAAAAGAACCUGAAACCGUGUACGUACAAGCAGUGGGAGCACCUUCGGGUGUGACUGCGUACCUUUUGUAUAAUGGGUCAGCGACUUAUAUUCUGUAGCAAGGUUAACCGUAUAGGGGAGCCGAAGGGAAACCGAGUCUUAACUGGGCGUUAAGUUGCAGGGUAUAGACCCGAAACCCGGUGAUCUAGCCAUGGGCAGGUUGAAGGUUGGGUAACACUAACUGGAGGACCGAACCGACUAAUGUUGAAAAAUUAGCGGAUGACUUGUGGCUGGGGGUGAAAGGCCAAUCAAACCGGGAGAUAGCUGGUUCUCCCCGAAAGCUAUUUAGGUAGCGCCUCGUGAACUCAUCUUCGGGGGUAGAGCACUGUUUCGGCUAGGGGGUCAUCCCGACUUACCAACCCGAUGCAAACUGCGAAUACCGAAGAAUGUUAUCACGGGAGACACACGGCGGGUGCUAACGUCCGUCGUGAAGAGGGAAACAACCCAGACCGCCAGCUAAGGUCCCAAAGUCAUGGUUAAGUGGGAAACGAUGUGGGAAGGCACAGACAGCCAGGAUGUUGGCUUAGAAGCAGCCAUCAUUUAAAGAAAGCGUAAUAGCUCACUGGUCGAGUCGGCCUGCGCGGAAGAUGUAACGGGGCUAAACCAUGCACCGAAGCUGCGGCAGCGACACUA